CUCGUCCUGCAUAUGUUUACAUUGUUUGCCAUCUGCUGUUUAGCCAACAACAAUCAUUGUCAAAUUUCCACAAAUAUAAAUUAAAUUAAAAUGUAUGUUUCAAAACGAUCACUGCUUUUGGAUCGUCAAUAUUUUGAAUACAACAAUUAUAUUAUGAUUUAACUUGUGCAUGUUGUAAAAUACGUAAAAUGGUUGUAUUGAUAG
rnacentral:lncRNA from 1 species